AACGAACGCUGGCGGCAUGCCUAACACAUGCAAGUCGAACGAGACCUUCGGGUCUAGUGGCGCACGGGUGCGUAACGCGUGGGAACCUGCCCUUAGGUUCGGAAUAACUCCCCGAAAGGGGUGCUAAUACCGGAUAAUGUCUUCGGACCAAAGAUUUAUCGCCUUUGGAUGGACCCGCGUUGGAUUAGCUAGUUGGUAGGGUAAAAGCCUACCAAGGCGACGAUCCAUAGCUGGUCUGAGAGGAUGGUCAGCCACACUGGGACUGAGACACGGCCCAGACUCCUACGGGAGGCAGCAGUGGGGAAUAUUGGACAAUGGGCGAAAGCCUGAACCAGCAAGGCCGCGUGAGUGAUGAAGGCCUUAGGGUUGUAAAGCUCUUUUACCCGGGAUGAUAAUGACAGGACCGGGAGAAUAAGCUCCGGCUAACUCCGU
rnacentral:rRNA from 1 species